GGGUGAGAAAUUAUUCAAUUUUUUUAUUUUCAAUGAGAGAGACCUAAUUCGAUGAAACAUUAAUCCAGCAAGCUAUUUGAUUCUGUAUGGUAGUAUGAAUAAUAGUCAAACUGUUUUAAGCUAUGUUUGAAAAUACUUGAAUAUAAAGAGGAAAUUAACAAAAGUGUUGUCAAACAUGACACACAAACUUGAUUUGCUACCUCACUGGUCUAUACCUGUAACUCUAAGCAAGGCAUUAGUUGUUUUGGUGAUUGCCUGAUUUGUCUGUCUGAAAUUGAGAUGUGGUGGUACUUGUAGAGAUGACAUUGGGUAGAGGUUACAGUGGUGUAUACCUUAACGAUUAUCCUACUUUGGUAUAUUUAGUUUCUUCCCCUCAAAGACACUCAUAACUUCUUAGUUGGUAAAGAGAUUUUCUCUCUUUCGGCAAUAAAAAGGUUUGCUUCAAGCGCCUCUUUCCCCAGCUUCAGAUUCCACCACCGUCAUCAGGGCUGCCUUUCUCUUCUCCCCAAAACUCCUUCCAAAUCAUUGAGAAAGGAAAGAAUAAAAUGGCAACUGAGAAAGCCAAUUAUGAUCAGACCGUGGACACCCAGAAUUACAACGCCCAAGAGAAUUCCACAGAGCGAUCAGCUUCUAGCCAGGGAUCAGCUAAGUUCCACUUCAGUAAAGCACUUGCCCACAGAGCAGUUUAUGGUUCAAGCAGCCGCCGCAGCACCGGAAGCAGAAAGGUCAGAAACACUGACGCUAGAACAUUACCAAGUAGACUAAGCAAGGUUUCAUUGGCUGAUGAUGAUUCUGAGAACUAGCUAGGUUGACAGAAAUGUUCUCGGUGCCAUAUUAGAUGUACUACAGCUCUAAGUUAGCUACAGAAGUUUCAUUCUGUCCCAGGAAAAUGCUGGCGACCUUGUGACAUUUAGUUUGUUUGUUUUGUCAAGUUAGCGGUGCGGCAAUGCAAUGUCUCCAAUUCUUGGUAAAAGCUGAUGCUUCGAUAGAGCAUACGAUGGAGAAUUGACCCGAAUCUGCAGCCAAGAAUUCAUAAAUCCAUUCUCUCUGUAUCUGUAUCAUCAAUUAAUUCUGAGCUAAGUGUAAUAUUUGGCAUUGCUAUU